UACGUAGGGGGCGAGCGUUGUCCGGAUUUAUUGGGCGUAAAGAGCUCGUAGGCGGCUUGGCAAGUCGGGUGUGAAACCUCCAGGCUCAACCUGGAGACGCCACUCGAUACUGCCAUGGCUAGAGUCCGGUAGGGACCGACGGAAGUUCCUGGUGAGCGGUGAAAUGCGCAGAUAUCAGGAGGAACGCCGGUGGCGAAGGCGGGUCUCUGGGCCGUAACUGACGCUGAGGAGCGAAAGCGUGGGGAGCGAACAGG
rnacentral:rRNA from 1 species